rnacentral:lncRNA from 1 species
AUGUAACUCUCGAUGCAUAUGUAGCAAGAUCCCUUCUUACCAAUGGUCACCGACAACUGAGUGGCGGGUCACUCAACUGAGCAGCGAGUCACCCAACUCGCUUGCACCUCUAUAUCGGAGUCACGUAGGCAUCUUGAGGAAAUGGGUUGAUUGAUUUUCUUCAAACAAGGCAAUCAAUUGUACUUCGAGUUUGUGAUUUCGUGAAUCUAAAUCUAUAUCCAUCUACUCGAGAAAUUAAACCAAAAGGAAAGAAGAAAAUGUCAGAACCCUCGUCAUCAAGAAUAAUUUUCAGAUAUUUCCAGCUCAUUGCAUUGAAAUCCUCGCCAAAUAAUCUAAACAUCGUCCAAAUUCUCACGUUUCGUACUUCGCUAUUAAUUUCUUCGAGAACCCAUUUCUCAUCAUCGCCCAAUGUUGCAAGAAUUUUCGACAAACUGUACCCAAAUGCGGAAUUUUCGCCGAACAGAAAUUUUAUUGGGUUCAGAUACUUUUCUUUAAAGAAUGCAAUGGGUUCCAAGAAUUUGGUAAAAGAUGCGGCAAAUCCAGCAGUGGCGGUUAAGGACACUUUUUUGUGGUACAAAGAGGCCUUCUGGAAGAGAAAUUAUCUGAUGUUGCUGGGUGCAGGUGGGAUCGUGGUAAGCAUUCUUGCUCUUUCAUCACGUUUGCUGUGAGUUUUUUACAAUUUGUAUCUGAUUCUGCUCUAUAUUGUUCAUUUAAUUGUUCAGUGUAUUACAUGCGAAGCAGUUACUGUUGCGUAAGCCAAUUUAUUGAGGAGCAUAUUAGCAAUUAAGUUACGGAAAUUUUUUAUUGGCUUUCUCAUUGUGAAUCAAAAAUUAGAACUCACAUUCAUUUUGAAACAGGCUUCUCUGAAUUCUGUAUAACUUUUAAUGUUUGAAUGGUGAUAUACUGAUGAUUGAAUUAUGAUCAAUUGACUCCUCGACCAAUUUACGUCUAUCUCAAUUGAAGCAGACUAUUUUUGGGAAUUAUCCAUUUCAUUUAUGCACUGGAUGGCGGACGCCGCUUGAGACUGCAAUAUUUUAGCAUGUUGUGUACAGCAGAGGAGAUAUUCUGUGCCCUGAUUCAUGUUUGUAUCCUUUUAUAAGGGGGAAAAAUUCACUGAAAAAUCAUAGAUAGUCUUGCUUGAUAUUCCAAGCUCCUUUGAUAUUGUAAAGAAUUUCCAUAUAGAAUCAUCACACCUUCUUUUUUUUGGAAGAAAUUGAUUGUAAGAUGCUAAAAGUUAUGAUUCAACUAUGCCUUCUUUUACAUUUAUCCUGGUUCUUUCACCUGUAUAUGCUAUCUACCAUUCUACUGUAGCUUAAAGAAAGCUCUUUCGUACAACAAAUCAAAAUAGGAAAUUGAUUGUGAUCCGCAAAAAUUAUGAUUCGACUGCAUUCUUUAUUUUACAUUUAUCCUGUCUCUUUUACCUGUUUAUCUCCCAUUCUAACGUAGCAUGAAGAAAGCUCAUUUAUCCAACAACCGAAAAAAGGGAAGCAUAACAAUGGUCAAAAUAUGAGUGGCGAGGCAUGGUUUCCCUUUGGCCUUCUGCAUUAAACUUGUCGCGAUUAAAUAGAUCGAGGCAAAAAAAGGAAAUUUGUGGAGAGAGUGGAAUCCAUAACAUUUUAAUGGGAUUUAUCUGUUCGAACAGUGAGAUAAUUUAAUAGAAUCCCCUGCAUAACCCUUUUCGUGAAAUGCUAUUUCAGCAUGUCACAGUUGUCACUUACCGAGUUAUCCUGAUUCUGAAGUUGUUCAGUUCUAAUAGACUAGACAGGUCUGCUGACUUCUAGGUUUAAUGGCUGUCAAGGUUAGUACUGGUAAAUGAUGUGGAAUCAUAUCUAACUUUCCUUCCAAUGAGAUUUUGUGGAACUCACUUAGCACUGUUGGUAGGGUAUUCAGUUUUAUCUUUUCCCGUAAUAUAAUCAUAAAUAUAUUUGCUUAUUUUCUCCUUUAAGGGCUUUUAUUUUCGUCCAAGAAUCACAAUUAAUCCCAAUGAGGUUUAUAAAAUGGCCAUAAGGAAACUAAAUAAUCUGCUGGAAUCCUCGUGUUUAUGGGUGCUCCCAUAGGACAAAUGUGAGUGUAUAUGUGAUGUCAGGAUGUUUUAUUACACUUGAGAACUUCUGGUGAGAUUUAGAAGCCAAAUAUGUUAUUUUAUUUUUUCAAUACAAGAUUCGGAGAGGAAGAGAUAGUAGCUGUUGAAGUUAUGAAGAAGAAAGAACAGGUUUUCCUCUGUACUGGCUGCUUAUGUAUUCCUUUACACGAAGCAACUUUGUCUGUAUUUGAGGGAUUGGCUGCAUUGAUUUCUCUUGCUUUCUGAAUGUCCUUGUGCAAGUCAUCGGAGGUUGUAAUUGUAGUCAAGAAAACUGUUGCAUAUGUCUUGUUAAGACUUGUUUUUCAACCGUGGUGUAACAGUUAUUCCUACAUGAUAGGGGUUAAAGUAGUUUAAAUUUUUCUGGAGAAGCCAGAUGCCAUUAAAUAUAAGAUGCAGUUAACAUUGCUCUCAAUUUUCUUUCUGCAGUUUGAUAUGCAAUUAUUGGGAUGAAGAGCAUGACCGGCUGGAAUACUGAAAGGGAACUUCAAAAAGCAGAAAGCAAGCAAGCAAGCACCCAGAAGAAACUGAUUCACUGCAAUUUCCCAAUAGUUCUCAUUUUUUUCUUGUUCUUUGCAAUGAAAGGUUAGGUCCUUGAUCUUCGAAAGAUGUAUUUGACGUGCGGGUAAAAGGUCAUACUUCGUCUGUUGCGCUGUAGUUAUUAUCCUAUCAACUUUUUGCUUGUCACACUUUAAAUUGAAGAGAAACUAUAUGUUGUAUACUCGUGUUAGUGCUCAACUAUCUCUGUCGAAUGCAAAGACUUGACGUCUUGACCUAGUCGAGAAUACGAGUAUCCAACAAGAAGGUUUUUUUAAAUGGGUAAAUUACAGUAAAUGUUCUUAACUUUUACAGUUCGUCUCCAACCUUUGAUAAAUAUUCUUCUUCUUUACAUCACUGCAUCCCCAUUUUUUACAGUACAAGGAGGAUCUCUCUGGUCUUUUGCCAAAUAUGGCACUGAACAUUUUUGGCAGAAUCCGAGAGGUGAGAAGUUCCCGCAUUCUGGGUUUUAUUGCUGAACAUGGGGGAUUUCUCACCCAUUUUCUGCCAUUAUUGGCAACUUUUAUUUUUGGGUUCUUUCCUUGUUUAUGAAUAUAGUUUCUUUCAUAUUUUAAUUAAAAAUAAUGAAUCAUCAUUUUAUUUUGUUUUUUUAGUUUUUUUUUUAUUAUUAUUAUUUUUUUUAAUGGCCCAAGGGGUUGACUAACAGAGAAUUGGAUGUCAUCCAUUCAUUUAGAAGAACGUCGCCAAUUAUCAAAGGCUGGGAAUCCAAGAGAUUGGGGACGUAAGUGCAAAAGUGAGUAAUGGUUGGGUACAUUUCAAUUCAUCAUUUUAAAAUUAGCUCUAAAGUACUUAUCCACUUAUGAUGAAAUACAUGUUGACGUUUUUGAGGAUAAGUAAUUAGCCUCUCUGUUCGUAUCUCUUUUUCGAAUUUUGGUCUUGAUUGGUUCAUAAAAUUGAAUGGUCAAUCCUUCCCUGAAAUCUCUAUUCGAUUCUUCUACAAGAUAUGGGUAUGCAAGCCAUGUUUCAAGAAAGGUAGGAGAAUAGAAGAAAUCAUAUUUUCAUACAAUAUCUUAAUUGAAUUAUAUGUAAUGAUCAAUAAAUUAAGUUGAAUUAUAUCCUUUGAUAGGAGCUUUCUAUCCUGGCCCUAGAUAUGAGUCUCGCUCAUCCACUCCAACAAGAAAGGAUCAAAGGAUUGAGAGCAAUGAAGUAGGCGAAGUACUGAUUAGAUUUUGAGUUGUCUAAACAAGUAGUAUACAUGAUUUCAAGAGUUGAACAAGAAUGAAUAUCAUAUAAAAGAGUUAACACCAGUCUUUUCUUCUGGCAUUCUAACAUUUGUAUGAUUUAUAUUAAAAUUAUUUUUUUAAUAAAUUUUGAUAAAAAUUGAUUGAAAGAUUAAUAAAAAUUAUAAAUUUCAAAAAAUAUGUGAUUGAAAAUAAAUUGGAGAAAAUGAAGCCAAAUGGGGGCUCAAUAAAUCUCCCAUGAGAGCUUUUUCUUACCUUGCCAUAAACAAAGAAUGUAAGCCUUCAUUCUUAAUAGUAAUAGUUCCAAGCAUGUGAGCUCAGCUUAUACAUAACGUUGCGAGGAAAAUUAUAGACAUGAACAAGGAAUCUUCAAGCACCCCGAUCUUUUGUCUCACACGUGUCUUCUAAAAUGUCAUGUGUCGUCUUCAACUUGUCCAGUGACACGUGGUACAAACCCAUUACAUCCCCCAACUCUAAUCUAUAUAAAUCCAUGAAGUAUAUUCCAACUUCCACAAUAUCAUAUUGAAUUAUGGAAACUGUUGAGAAUAUCGGAAGAAACCACCAAAACCGGUUGCUGAUGUGGAAGAGUUAGUUAGAUUAGUUGAUUUUCUAUUAAUGCCCAACUGUAAACAACUGUAUAGAAUUUGAUUCUUUCAUUCUCUAUUUAAGGACCACCUGAUGUACAUUUCACGUGAACUUUUAUCUUCAAUACAAGAAUUUUUUCAUACUCAUCUAUAUUUCAUACUCUCUCAGAUCUAGAUUGUAGUAUCUGUUAGUUCAAUCUCAAGAUGGUAUCAGAGCAUAAUGAUGCUUCUGCUUCAGCUCCUUAGCCUUUAGUUUCUGAUCCUCCUGCUUCAGUUCCUGCAUCUGCAGCAAAAGCAGAGGACGUUUUCAGUCCCUUUUUUCUACAUCAUGGAGAUAGUCCUGGUCUCUUGAUCGUUUCUCAGUAGUUGAAUGAAGACAACUAUGCAUCAUGGAGUCGAUCUGUUGAAAUGGCUCUGAGUGCCAAAAACAAGCUGUGUUUCAUCGAUGGAUCCUUAAGCAAACUUGAUGAAGGCGAUCCGGUCUUUCCAGCUUGGAAGAGGUGCAAUCAUAUGGUUAUUUCAUGGCUUUUGAACUCCAUUUCCAAAGAACUUGCUCCUAGUAUCCUGUAAAUUGAUACUGCUGCUGCUAUUUGGUCUGAUCUUAAGGAGAGGUUUUCACAAACUAACGGACCACGUAUCUUUCAAUUGAGGAAGACAAUCACUUCUCUAACACAAGAUAAAUGUUCAGUAAGUACAUAUUUCAUUAAACUGAAGACACUUUGGGAUGAGCUUGGGUGCUAUAGACCUGUUCCAGCCUCUUUGGUGAAGUUUCAGCAGAAGGAAUAUGUCAUGCAGUUCCUGAUGGGCUUGAAUGUGAGUUACUCUCAGAUUCGAGGUCAAAUACUAUUGAUUGAUCCAUUACCACCAAUUAACAAAGUCUUUUCUCUAGUUGUACAAGAGGAGAAGCAAAGAGAAAUUACAGCUAGCAUCACACACAAUCUAGAUUCUGUUGCUAUGGUUGCUAAAAAUUUCAAUAGAAAUCUUGCCCAAGCUGCUAAUGAAGGAAGGAACAAUUACACUGGAUAGAACAAUAAGAAGGAGCGUCCUCAAUGCAGUCACUGUGGUCUUCUUGGCCACAAAGUCGACAAAUGCUACAAAGUGCACGGAUAUCCACCAGGAUAUAAGUUUAAAAACAAGAAUCCUGUGGUUCAUGGAGUUGCAAAUCAAGUGGAAUAUGCUCAUGAUGUUGACACUGAUCUUGCGCAAUUCUCAUUUACUAAGAAUCAAUAUCAAUAGUUGCUAGCCUUGAUUCAACCCACUAAUGAAGCAUCUUUGCCAUUCACAGGCACUCGCACCAUCAAUUCUCAAAAUGCAAGCACCUCUGGUUCACAAGAGCAUGCCUUAGCAAAUUUGGUAGGUACAUCAUGGUUUUUGCCUCACAAUGCAUCAGUAUUUAGUCAGUGCUUUUCAUCUAAAUCAUAUAAAGGUUCUGAAAUUUUAAGUGUGAAUUAUGAAUGGAUUCUAGACACCGGUGCUAUAGAUCAUAUGGUGUGUUCAGUUUAUUUACUCACAGAAAUCACAGCUACAGUUUCACAAUUUGUUAAGCUUCCAAAUGGUAGUUUAGCAAAAGUUACACAUAUUGGUUCAGUUAGACUUUCAAACUCGAUUGUUCUGGAGAAUGUUCUGUGUGUGCUAUCUUUUGCAUUCAAUCUGGUUUCAGUCAGUUGCUUGCUUAAAACAGUCAGAUUUGCUCUCAUUUUAUUGUGCUUUAUACAGGACCUAUGCUCAUGGACGACGAUUGGUCUGGCUAAAGAGAGAAAUAGUCUAUUCUAUAUGCUGAAUAUCACUUCCCCACAACCUAAACAUUUUGUUAAUUCUAUAACAUCCACAAUUUCUGAUUUGUGGCGUCUUAGGUUAGGUCAUCCAUCUUUGCAACGCCUAAAAAUGUUGCAACCUGUCAUUUCAAAUUUGAAUGUAAAUACUAUACAUCAAUGUGACAAUUUCCCUAUGGGUAAGUUGCACAUAUUACCCUAUGUUUCUAAUGAAAUAAAGAGUUCUGCUCCAUUUGAUCUAGUACAUGCUGAUCUAUGGGGUCCUUUCUCUAUUACCGCUAUUGAUGGUUUAAAGUACUUUCUAACUCUCGUUGUUGACUUUACUUGAUGUGUAUGGACUUGCUUGUUAAAAUCUAAAACACAAUCUGUCAUUCCAGCUUUCUUCACUUUAAUUGAGACACAAUUUAAUCUCAAGAUAAAGUGUGUUCACUCGGAUAAUGGUUCAGAAUUUCACCUUAGAGAUUUUUUUACAUCUAAAGGUGUUAUACAUCAAAAGAUUUGUGUUGAAUCACCCCAAAAAAAUGGGGUAGUCGAAAGAAAACAUCAACGUAUAUUAAAUGUUGGUAAAGCCUUUCGUUUUCAAGCAAAUUUACCUCUUAGUUUCUGGGGUGAAUGUAUACAAACUACCACUUACAUCAUCAACAGACUUCCCACUCCUUUGCUUCAUCGAAGAUCCUCCUUUGAAGCCCUUUUUUCCCAAAAACCAGAUUACUCUCAUUUCAGGACUUUUGGUUGCUUAUGGUUUGCUUAUACACUCACUAGAAAUCAAUCAAAGUUGGAUUCUCGAGCAACCAAAUGUAUCUUUCUUGGCUAUCCAUAUUUUGUCAAGGGCUAUAAACGCUUCGAUCUUCAUACUCAAGCUGUCUUCAUAUCAAGAAAUGUUUUAUUUUAUGAAGAAACCUUUCCAUACAAACAACUCCCUUUAAAUCAUGAUGACCCAUUUGUCUUACCUAAUCCAAUUCCAGAACCUUCAUUUCGCAUUUUUCCUUCCCAUAUGUCUCCUAUAUCUGAAAAUGUUUCACCAAACACUUCACCAGAUCACCAAAAUAACCCUGUUCCUCCACCAGAAUAUCAUACAGCUUCACAUGACAUAAACCCUCCUCUGAGAAGAUCCACAAGAAUUAAACAAACCCCCUCUUAUCUUCAGCAUUAUCAUUGUCAUUUGGCUCAAAAUUCUCUUAACAGAUCUGGUCAGUCCACAAGCAAGGUUCUUUCAAGCUUAAGCCCCAGCUGUGAUAUCCAAAAUUAUCUUGCUUAUGAUAGACUUUCAUCUUCUCAUCGAGCAUAUGCUCUUAAUAUCCCUAACAUGACUGAGCCUCAAACUUUUGAUCAAGCUGUAAAGGAUCCUAACUGUUUUGAUGCAAUGACUAAGGAAAUUAAAGCACUUGAGGAUAAUAACACGUGGACAAUCACUCGUUUACCCCCUAGCAAAGUCCCCAUUGAUUGUAAAUGGGUGUUCAAAAUGAAGUUGAAAGCUGAUGGGUCUUUGGAAAGGUAUAAAGUCAGAUUAGUUGCUAAGGGCUAUACUCAAAAAGAAGGUUUUGAUUAUCUUGAAACCUUUUAUCCAGUGGCAAAGCUUACUUCUGUGAGAGUCCUUUUGGCUGUAGCUACUGCUAAGGAUUGGACUCUUUUACAAUUAGAUGUCAACAAUGCAUUUUUACAUGGUGAUCUAAAUGAGGAAAUAUAAAUGAAAAUUCCUCCUGGUCUUGACAGCAAAGGGGGCAGUAUGGUAUGCAGGCUCAACAAGUCUUUAUAUGGUUCAAAACAAGCCUCUAGGCAAUGGUUUACUAAGUUCUCAAAUUUUUUGUUAAAGGAAGGCUUUGCACAGUCCAAAUCUGAUUAUACACUUUUCACUAGAAAUAGAAAUGGCUCUUUCAUUGCUCUACUAGUGUAUGUGGAUGAUAUUGUAUUGACAGGAGAUGAUUUACAAGGCAUGAAUGAUUUGAAGGCUUCUCUUGAUGGGCAAUUCAAGAUAAAAGAUCUUGGAACAUUGAAAUAUUUCCUAGGACUGAAGGUGGCUCGGUCUAAGAAAGGAAUUUUUUUGUGUCAAAGAAAAAUUUGCUCUAGAUAUUUUAGAAGAUGCUGGUUUUAGUGGUGCCAAACCGGCAAACACACCAACGGAGCAAAAUGUUAAACUGAAUAGAGAAAGUGGAGAACUGUUGAAUGAUGCAUCACUUUACAGGAGGUUAGUAUGACAGCUGCUGUACUUAACCAUUACAAGGCCGGAUCUGAGUUAUGUGGUUCAAGUGUUAAGUCAGUUUAUGAACCAACCAAGGGAACCUCAUUUGGAUGCAGCUUAUAGGGCACUAAGGUACAUCAAGAGCACGCCAGGACAAGGGAUUUUCUUCCCUAAAGACAAUGACUUAAGGCUGAAGAUCUUUUCAGAUUCAGAUUGGGCCAGCUGCCAUGAUUCAAGAAGAUCCACAACUGGAUAUUGUACUUUUAUGGGAAAUGCUCUAAUAUCCUGAAAAUCUAAGAAGCAAAAUAUGAUUUCCAGAUCUUCAGCAGAAGUUGAAUACUGUACAAUGGCAUCAACAACGUGUGAAAUACAAUGGCUUUUAUAUCUGCUGGCUGACUUGGGGAUUAAACAUGAGAAGCCUGCAUUGUUAUACUGUGAUAAUCAAGCUGCAUUACACAUUGCUGUCAACCCCGUAUUCCACGAAAGAACAAAACGUACCGAACUAGAUUGUCAUAUUGUGAGGGACAAGAUUAAGGCUGGAAUUUUGCACACUAUGCAUGUCUCUUCAAACAAUCAACUAGCAGAUAUUAUGACAAAACUAGUGGAAGCAUCUCCGUUUCAUUCUUUAUUCUGCAAGAUGAAUGUGUGCAACAUAUACACUCCAUCUUGAAGGGGGCUGUUGAGAAUACCGGAAGAAACCACCAGAACCUGUUGCUGACGUGGAAGAGUUAGUUAGAUUAGUUGAUUUUCUGUUAAUACUAAACAACUGUAUAGAAUCUGAUUCUUUCAUUCUCUAUUUAAGGACCACCUGAUGUACAUUUCACGUGAACUUUUAUCUUCAAUACAAGAAUUUUUCCAUACUC